UAAAAAGCUCGUAGUUGGUUCUGUGUGCCACGCUGUCGGUUCACCGCCUGCCGGUGCAACUGACAUGUCGUGGGAUGUCUUGCCGGAGGGGGCCGAAACCCUUCAGCGGUCUCCGUUGUUGGGCUCAGGUCCUCGCAAUGCUGCCACGGUGCUCUUCACCGAGUGUCGGGGCAGGCCGACAAGAUUACUUUGAACAAAUUAGAGUGCUUAAAGCAGGCUUAAUGUCGCCUGAAUAGUAGUGCAUGGAAUAAUGGAACAUGACUUUGUUUCUGUUUUGUUGGCUUUCGGAAUUCAAGGUAAUGAUCAAUGUGGACAGGCGGGGGCAUUCGUAUUGCGACGUUAGAGGUGAAAUUCUUGGAUCGUCGCAAGACGAACUAGAGCGAAAGCAUUUGCCAAGUAUGUCUUAGUUGAUCAAGAACGAAAGUUAGAGGUUCGAAGGCGAUCAGAUACCGCCCUAGUUCUAACCAUAAACGAUGUCAGCCAGCAAUCCGCCGAUGUUCCUCCGAUGACUCGGCGGGCAACCCCCGGGAAACCAAAGCUUUUGGGUUCCGGGG
rnacentral:rRNA from 2 species